rnacentral:rRNA from 1 species
CCGCUUUCAGCAGGGAAGAGUCAAGACUGUACCUGCAGAAGUAGCCCCGUCUAUUUACGUGCCAGCAGCCGCGGUAAUACGUAGGGGGCGAGCGUUAUCCGGAUUCAUUGGGCGUAAAGCGCGCGUAGGCGGCCCGGCAGGCCGGGGGUCGAAGCGGGGGGCUCAACCCCCCGAAGCCCCCGGAACCUCCGCGGCUUGGGUCCGGUAGGGGAGGGUGGAACACCCGGUGUAGCGGUGGAAUGCGCAGAUAUCGAAAGGAACACCGGUGGCGAAGGCGGCCCUCUGGGCCGAGACCGACGCUGAGGCGCGAAAGCUGGGGGAGCAAAAAAGAUUAGAUACCCUGGUAGUCCCAGCCGUAAACGAAAGACGGAUAAGGUGGGGGGGGACGAUCCCCCCGUUCCGCAGCCAACGCCAUAAACUUUCCGCCUGGGGAGUACGGCCGCAAGGCUAAAAAUCAAAAAGAAAUUGACGGGGGCCCGCACAAGCAGCGGAGCAUGUGGCUUAAUUUGAAGCAACGCGAAGAACCUUACCAGGGCUUGACAUAUGGGUGAAGCGGGGGAGACCCCGUGGCCGAGAGGAGCCCAUACAGGUGGUGCAUGGCCGUCGUCAGCUCGUGUCGUGAGAUGAUGGGUUAAGUCCCGCAACGAGCGCAACCCCCGCCGCGUGUUGCCAUCGGGUGAUGCCGGGAACCCACGCGGGACCGCCGCCGUCAAGGCGGAGGAGGGCGGGGAGGACGUCAAGUCAUCAUGCCCCUUAUGCCCUGGGGUGCACACGUGCUACAAUGGCCGGUACAGAGGGAUGCCACCCCGCGAGGGGGAGCGGAUCCCGGAAAGCCGGCCCCAGUUCGGAUUGGGGGGUGCAACCCGCCCCCCCGAAGUCGGAGUU